CAUGUCGGCCCAACUAACAAACAAAUUUAAAUCCAACAAAUACUACGUUGGGCUCUAACGACAAUGUGGUUGUUCUGUGUCAAGGGUAGAAGGCCCAGCCCAGAAUAUGGACAUUGUUAACCACAUUUUUGCUCUUUCCGCAAGACGGAGAAUUCAGGGUCUCACAAUACUGUCAGUGUUGAAGGAAAAUAUAGGGAGCACAACAAGAUAACCUGAUCUCACUACCAUAAAUAAUAAAAAUCAUCUUAAUCUCAAAUACUUUUUGGGAUUGCUGGGUGUUUUUUUGAAAUGUUAAAAUUAAUCACAGAACUUUCAAACCAAUCAAACAAGAGUUCCAUCGCAUUAAGGAAUCAAGACCAGGUAAGAUGAAGGUAAAUAUAACGAAAUAAACAAACUGAGAAAAUGUAAGGCAAAAGACGGGGAGGGUGGUGAAGUGAGCAUCAGUUUUAAAAAGCUCGAUUUUUUGAAUCUUCAUGGAUUCAUCAGAAGUUGCAUUCGUUUACUUCUUUCAUCAUCUGCUCACAAUCACCAUCUUUUGUCAAUCAAACAGAAAUCCCACAAAAACAAAAACAAAAAAAUCGAACGGAAACAUAAAAAUGGAAGAAACAUGACCAACUCUUGUGCUCUGGAAAAUCUCUAUCGGAGCCGCUCUUUUUAUAUAGGAUGAAGGGAAGCCCGUAAAACCCUAAUCGCUCUUUAGUGCCUUCCAAAGCGACACCGUUUGGUUUGAAAUCCCAAACGCUGCCGUUCGAAGUUUUUUUAUUUUUCCUUCUUUUCCGCGUUCUCGGUUAUCUUAAAACGCUGCGUUUUGCUGGGUCUCUUCUGCUCAUUUGUCUUCUGUGAAACGACGGUCUCGAGAAAUUGAGGCGCAUGAUCAUAUUGACUCGACAUUGUAAGGCAUUUUCAUGCUUUAAUUUUGCGACGCAUUUUACAAUUAGCACUUGCACACGCUUCCCUCGACGUCGUUUUACAGCGCAAGCUGCAUUGAGCCUACAAGAGCAAGAAACAAAGUGCAAUGCGCGACUCCUCUGGAGUUUGACAAUCGUGUGUAUACUGCUGUGCUCAAAGAUUGUGUCUGAAACGAUGACCCAGUUAGAUGGAAAGCUCUGCAAUGUCAUUAUCGAAGGAGGGAUAAUUACCUUGACUUGUUCGUUCAAAAUGUUCUUUUAAACUUGUAAGUCAAAGCGGAUUUAUUAAAUCAUGCACGUAAGCUGUUCGAUGAGAUGCCCAAGAAAAAGACAAUCUCUUUCGUUAAUUUGAUCCAAGCGCAGACACAUUCGUUUAGAAACCUGGAGGGUAUAGAGUGGUUCCACCGCUUACAUAGAGAAGGGCAGGAGACGAACCCUUUUGUUUUUACUACAAUACGGAUUUGCUUGUAGGUAAAGAAUGGGCGGAGCUGUGUUGGAUGCUACAUACCUACAUAUGUAAGCUUGGUCCUGACUCUAAUACUUUCGUUGAGACUGCUAUUAUUGAUGCAUAUUCUGUGUGUGGGUACGUCCAGAGUGCUUGAGAAGUUGCUAGCAAGGACGUGGUUUGUUGGACCGGGAUGGUGACUUGCUAUUCAGAGAAUGAUUGUUUUGAAAACGCAUUGGAACUUUUCUAUCGAGUGCAUGUUGUUGGGUUGAAUCCCAGUAAUGAUAGCUUUAAUUGCGUGCUCAAGGCCUGUCUAGGACUAGAGGCCUUAGACCUGGCAAUUAGUGGCAAAGUCUGUUCAUGGGUGUGCUUUGAAAACUAGUUAUGAAUUGAAUAUUUAUGUUGGUGCUUCUUUGCUUGAAUUCUAUACCAAAUUGGGAGAUUUGGGUGAUGCUCAAUUUUUUUGGAUAAGAUGCGAAAGAAGGAUGUGAUUCCUUGGAGUUUUAUGUUUGCAUGAAGAGGUCCGAACAUAGUUGCUGUGGAGCUAUUUUAUCAGAUGAGACAAGAAUUCGUCAUUCCUACUGAGUAUACAUUUACUAGUUUGCUGCAAGCUUGUGCAACUAUGGAGGGUUUAAAUUUGUGGACGCAAAUCCGUUGCAAUGUAUUCAUGGUUAGUUUGAACUUGGAUGUGUAUGUUUCGAAUUCGCUCAUGGAUGUCUAUGGUAAAUGUGGGAGGAUGGAGAGCUCUAUGAAACUAUUUGUUGAAUCACCAAUUAGAAAUGAUAAUACUUGGAACACAACGAUUGGUGGUUAUGUACAGGCAGAUUAUGCGGAGAAGGCAUUGGAUUUGUUUGUAAAUAUGCUUGAAUGCCAGGUCGAACUUACAUAAGUGACAUACUCUAGCAUUCCUUCGUGCUUGUGCUACUUUAGCUGCACUGGAGUCAGGCAUUCAAAUUCAUUCCUUGACAGUGAAGAGCAAUUAUAUCAACAAUGUUGUGGUUGAAAAUUCUUUAAUUGAUAUAUAUGAGCAGCAAAUAUAUAUUAUUGCGCAUCAACAUAAUUCUCAGUGGAGCUUGUACUACUGGGUGUUAUUGUGAAAACUCCAAAAAAAUUGCAGUUAAUUGAGUCUUACUUGCGAUUUCACAAGUGUUGACACUCAGAAUACUGAAAUUUCCACCUAGUUGAGAAGGGCAUCAUCACUAUAGUUUUGAUUGGGAGCAGAUCUUAAAUUGUUGUCCUCCGGAGUGCUACCAUUUACAUGAAUGACUUAAUUGCAAACGCAAGUGGUACUUCCCUGAGGAAUUCGUUAAUUUUAAUGUUGAUUCAUUUGAAUCUUGGCAUUUCAGGAAAUGUUAACUGGUGAGAGGAAGGGAUUUGCUGGAAGCCAAGCUUUUCGAGAAUGCUACUUUGAAGGUCCCUGAAUAUGGCCUAGUUACAGUUACUCGCUAGAUGCAAAGAGCGUAACACCAACUUCUGACGGGGAGAUGUCGGUACUUCAACGCUGGUUGGCAUCGUGGUCCUGUGGCCUCGCCCUGCGAAGCAAAAUGGAAGAUCUAACAAUUUGUAGGCCAAGAAACAAUCUUCAUUUUUGGCUGCAAUUGAGAAGACAAUGAAAUCAAGUACAACAAUUUGCUCUCUUGGCCUGGGGGUGUGGUUUAGAAGAUGAUUUACCAACUCUAGGUUGAGGUAGAUGGGCUGUACAAAACUGGCCCAUAUCCGGUGGGUCUGGAGCACAGGACAAGUCUAUAUAGUGCCAUUGUUCUUUAACCCAAAACUUGGCAUAUGAAAAUGGAGAAGACCCUUUGGUUGUCCUGGUCACACGUGUUUCUGUGAAUGUGCAGAGGUGUUGUUUUUGAUUGGGCAAUUGACCAUGUCAAAGGUGAACCACCAGCUAUCUCGUCUGGGACCUGUGGCUAUGGUCAGUGCCCCAGUUGGCUGUAUAUUUUAAGUACAAGAAAACAUGCAAAGCUGUGUUCUUUAUAUUA